rnacentral:rRNA from 1 species
UACGUAGGGUGCGAGCGUUGUCCGGAAUUACUGGGCGUAAAGAGCUCGUAGGUGGUUUGUCGCGUUGUUCGUGAAAACUCACAGCUCAACUGUGGGCGUGCGGGCGAUACGGGCAGACUGGAGUACUGCAGGGGAGACUGGAAUUCCCGGUGUAGCGGUGGAAUGCGCAGAUAUCAGGAGGAACACCGGUGGCGAAGGCGGGUCUCUGGGCCGAUACUGACGCUGAGGAGCGAAAGCGUGGGGAGCAAACAGG